UUCUAAAUUUGUUGUACUUCACUGGAAACUUGGCGAGUUUCUGGACCACUUCAGUGAUCGCUUCCGUCCGCUGUUACACACCUGCAGUCACUCACCACGGGAUUAUGCCCAGGUAAUGCAGAGGAGACGUCGAGAAGAUGGAUUUUCUCAUCUUU